rnacentral:tRNA from 1 species
UAUAGUAUACUUUAAAAAGAUUUCAUUUGCAAUGAAAAAUUGAUAAGUUUUAUCUGCUAUAA